GACUUGAUCCUGANUCUUCGGCGGNNGGGUGAGUACACGUGGGUACCUGCCUGUAAGACUGGGAUAACUCCGGGAAACCGGGGCUAAUACCGGAUAACACCUACCCCCGCAUGGGGGAAGGUUGAAAGGUGGCUUCGGCUAUCACUUACAGAUGGACCCGCGGCGCAUUAGCUAGUUGGUGAGGUAAUGGCUCACCAAGGCGACGAUGCGUAGCCGACCUGAGAGGGUGAUCGGCCACACUGGGACUGAGACACGGCCCAGACUCCUACGGGAGGCAGCAGUAGGGAAUCUUCCGCAAUGGACGAAAGUCUGACGGAGCAACGCCGCGUGAGUGAAGAAGGUUUUCGGAUCGUAAAACUCUGUUGUUAGGGAAGAACAAGUGCCGUUCGAAUAGGGCGGCGCCUUGACGGUACCUAACCAGAAAGCCACGGCUAACUACG
rnacentral:rRNA from 2 species